rnacentral:rRNA from 1 species
AGGGAAGCGAAGUAGUGAUAUGGAGCAAAACCCCAAAAGCACCCCCAGUUCGGAUUGAAGGCUGAAAUUCGCCUUCAUGAAGCCGGAAUUGCUAGUAAUGGCAGGUCAGCAUACCGCCGUGAAUACGUUCCCGGGCCUUGUACACACCGCCCGUCACACCAUGAGAGUUGGGAAUACCCGAAGCCUGUGAGCUAACGUAAGAGGCAGCAGUCGAAGGUAGAAUCAAUGAUUGGGGUGAAGUCGUAACAAGGUACC